UAGUCCAUGCCGUAAACGUUGGGCACUAGGUGUGGGAAGGAGUCAACCCUUUCCGUGCCGUAGCUAACGCAUUAAGUGCCCCGCCUGGGGAGUACGGCCGCAAGGCUAAAACUCAAAGGAAUUGACGGGGGCCCGCACAAGCGGCGGAGCAUGUUGCUUAAUUCGAGGCAACGCGAAGAACCUUACCUGGGUUUGACAUGUAGAGGACAGCCGUAGAGAUACGGUUUCCUUUUGGUCUCUACACAGGUGGUGCAUGGUUGUCGUCAGCUCGUGUCGUGAGAUGUUGGGUUAAGUCCCGCAACGAGCGCAACCCUUGUCCUAUGUUGCCAGCGGUUAAAGCCGGGGACUCGUAGGAGACUGCCGGGGUCAACUCGGAGGAAGGUGGGGACGACGUCAAAUCAUCAUGCCCUUAUGUCCAGGGCUGCAAACAUGCUACAAUGGCUGGUACAUCGGGCCGCGAGAUCGCGAGAUCAAGCUAAUCCCUCAAAGCCAGUCUCAGUUCGGAUUGAGGUCUGCAA
rnacentral:rRNA from 1 species